rnacentral:rRNA from 1 species
GUCGGGAAUAUUGCACAAUGGGCGAAAGCCUGAUGCAGCAACGCCGCGUGCGCGAUGAAGGCCUUCGGGUUGUAAAGCGCUUUUCGGGAGGAUGAGGAAGGACAGUACUCCCGGAAUAAGGUACGGCUAACUACGUGCCAGCAGCCGCGGUAAAACGUAGGUACCGAGCGUUAUCCGGAUUUACUGGGCGUAAAGCGCGUUCAGGCGGCUUGGCAAGUCGGGCAUGAAAUCUCUCGGCUCAACCGGGAGGGGCUGUCCGAUACUGCUAGGCUUGAGGGCAGUAGAGGCGGGUGGAAUUCCGGGUGUAGUGGUGAAAUGCGUAGAUAUCCGGAGGAACACCAGUGGCGAAAGCGGCCCGCUGGGCUGCACCUGACGCUCAAACGCGAAAGCUAGGGGAGCGAACGGGAUUAGAUACCCCUGUAGUCC